rnacentral:rRNA from 1 species
GAUGAACGCUGGCGGCGUGCUUAAUACAUGCAAGUCGAACGGAGACUGUAGCAAUACUGUCUUAGUGGCGAACGGGUGAGUAACGCGUUGGUGACCUGCCCCGAAGAGGGGGAUAACAGUCCGAAAGGAUUGCUAAUACCCCAUGUGGUCGUUUGGAUUAGAUGCCUUAUGACUAAACGGAUUUAUUCGCUUCGGGAGGGGCCUGCGUCCCAUCAGCUAGUUGGUGAGGUAAUAGCUUACCAAGGCGAUGACGGGUAGGGGACCUGAGAGGGUGGCCCCCCACAAUGGAGCUGAAACACGGUCCAUACACCUACGGGUGGCAGCAGUAGGGAAUAUUGGUAAUCUGGGAAACCGGGAACCAGCAACGCCGCGUGCGCGAUGACGGCCUUCGGGUUGUAAAGCGCUUUUUAAAGGGAUGAGGAAGGACAGUACCUUUAGAAUAAGCCUCGGCUAACUACGUGCCAGCCGCCGCAGUAAUAC